rnacentral:rRNA from 1 species
CCCACUGCUAUCGAGGUGGGACUAAGCCAUGCUAGUCGAACGCACAGAACUAUGUCUGUGAGUGGCAUACUGCUCAGUAACACGUAGCUAACCUACCCUUCGGACGAGGACAACCCCGAGAAAUUGGGGCUAAUCCUCGAUAGAUGUGAUGUCCUGGAAUGGUAUUACGUCUAAAGGUAUAUCAUACAUGUUUGAUAUACGCCUAAGGAUGGGGCUGCGGCUGAUCAGGCAGUUGGUGAGGUAAUGGCUCACCAAACCAUUGACCAGUACGGGCCAUGAGAGUGGUAGCCCGGAGAUGGACACUGAGACAAGGGUCCAGGCCCUACGGGGCGCAGCAGGCGCGAAACCUCCUCAAUGCACUAACGUGCGAAGGGGUUACCUCGAGUGCUAUCUGAAGAAGGUGGCUUUUCCAGGGUCUAAAAAGCCUAGGGAAUAAGAGGGGGGCAAGACUGGUGUCAGCCGCCGCGGUAACACCAGCCCCUCGAGUGGUGGGGAUGAUUAUUUGGCCUAAAGCGUCCGUAGCCGGCCGGAUAAGUUUCCCGUUAAAUCCAAUGUCUCAAGCAUUGGACUGCGGGAAAUACUGUCUGGCUAGAGAGUGGGAAAGGUUAGCGGUAUUCUGGGGGUAGGGGCGAAAUCCUUUGAUCCCCGGAGGACCA